rnacentral:rRNA from 1 species
GACGAACGCUGGCGGCGUGCUUAACACAUGCAAGUCGAACGGGUCUGCCCUGUUUUUUGCGGGGUGGGUCAGUGGCGAACGGGUGAGUAACACGUGAGUAACCUGCCCCUCACUUCUGGAUAACCGCUUGAAAGGGUGGCUAAUACGGGGUGUUCUGGCUGUGCCGCAUGGUGUGGCUGGGAAAGAUUCACUUUUGUGGUGUUUUGGUGGGGGAUGGGCUCGCGGCCUAUCAGCUUGUUGGUGGGGUGAUGGCCUGCCAAGGCUUUGACGGGUAGCCGGCCUGAGAGGGUGGGCGGUCACACUGGGACUGAGAUACGGCCCAGACUCCUGCGAGAGGCAGCAGUGGGGGGUAUUGCACAAUGGGCGGAAGCCUGAUGCAGCGACGUCGCGUGAGGGAUGGAGGCCUUCGGGUUGUGAACCUCUUUCGCCGGUGAAGAAGGUCCUGCUCUUUGUGGUGGGGUUGACGGUAGCCGGGUUAUGAAGCGCCGGCUAACUACGUG